GACGAACGCUGGCGGCGUGCUUAACACAUGCAAGUCGAGCGGUAAGGCCCUUUCGGGGGUACACGAGCGGCGAACGGGUGAGUAACACGUGGGUGACCUGCCCUCAGCUCUGGGAUAAGCCUGGGAAACCGGGUCUAAUACCGGAUAUGACUCCAUGACGCAUGUUGUGGGGGUGGAAAGCCUUGUGCGGCUGAGGAUGGGCCCGCGGCCUAUCAGCUUGUUGGUGGGGUGAUGGCCUACCAAGGCGACGACGGUAGCCGCCUGAGAGGGCGACCGGCCACACUGGGACUGAGACACGGCCCAGACUCCGUACGGGAGGCAGCAGGUGGGGAAUCUUG
rnacentral:rRNA from 1 species